rnacentral:rRNA from 1 species
CCUACGGGUGGCAGCAGUGGGGGAUAUUGCACAAUGGGGGAAACCCUGAUGCAGCGACGCCGCGUGGGUGAAGAAGCGCCUCGGCGCGUAAAGCCCUGUCAGCAGGGAAGAAAAUGACGGUACCUGAAGAAGAAGCCCCGGGUAACUACGUGCCAGCAGCCGCGGUACUACGUAGGGGGCAAGCGUUAUCCGGAUUUACCGGGGUUAAGGGGGGUCCGACGGGGAUGGUAGGUAGGAGGGAAAUCCCGGGGCCCAACCCCGGGACCGCUCGUGGAACUGCGUGGCUAGAGUGCAGGAGGGGCAGGCGGAAUGCCUGGUGUAGCGGUGAAAUGCGUAGAUAUCAGGAGGAACACCGGUGGCGAAGGCGGCCUGCUGGACUGCAACUGACGUUGAGGCCCGAAAGCGUGGGGAGCAAACAGGAUUAGAUACCCGGGUAGUC